UGGGGAAUAUUGCACAAUGGGCGGAAGCCUGAUGCAGCGACGCCGCGUGAGGGAUGACGGCCUUCGGGUUGUAAACCUCUUUCAGCAGGGACGAAGCGAGAGUGACGGUACCUGCAGAAGAAGCGCCGGCCAACUACGUGCCAGCAGCCGCGGUAAGACGUAGGGCGCGAGCGUUGUCCGGAUUUAUUGGGCGUAAAGAGCUCGUAGGCGGCUUGUCGCGUCGACUGUGAAAACCCGCAGCUCAACUGCGGGCCUGCAGCCGAUACGGGCAGGCUAGAGUUCGGUAGGGGAGACUGGAAUUCCUGGUGUAGCGGUGAAAUGCGCAGAUAUCAGGAGGAACACCGGUGGCGAAGGCGGGUCUCUGGGCCGAUACUGACGCUGAGGAGCGAAAGCGUGGGGAGCGAACAGG
rnacentral:rRNA from 1 species